UCUGGUAAGGCUAAAUACUCCUCAGACACCGAUAGUGAACCAGUACCGUAAGGGAAAGGUGAAAAGCACCCCGAACAGGGGAGUGAAAUAGUACCUGAAACCGUGCGCCUACAAGCGGUCGGAGUCCGCCCCGCAAGGGUCGGAUGACGGCGUGCCUUUUGCAUAAUGAGCCUACGAGUUGCUCCUCACUGGCGAGGUUAAGUUCUUAUAUAACGGAGCCGAAGCGAAAGCGAGUCCAAAUAGGGCGAUUAGUCAGUGGGGGCAGACGCGAAACUUUGUGAUCUAUCCAUGGGCAGGUUGAAGUUCUGGUAACACAGAAUGGAGGACCGAACCCGUUGACGUUGAAAAGUCUUGGGAUGACCUGUGGAUAGGGGUGAAAGGCCAAUCAAACUGAGAGAUAGCUCGUUCUCCCCGAAAUGUUUUUAGGAACAGCGUCGCAUUUAGAAGUGUAUUAGAGGUAGAGCUACUGAUUGGGCUAGGGGGCUUCACCGCCUACCAAACCCUGACAAACUCCGAAUGCUAAUACAUAUCUGCGGCAGUGAGGCUGUGGGCGCUAAGGUCCAUGGCCGAGAGGGAAAUAACCCAGAUUAGCAACUAAGGUCCCCAAUACGUAGUUAAGUUGAACAAACGCGGUGGGGCUUCUAUAACAGCCAGGAUGUUUGCUUGGAAGCAGCAAUUCAUUUAAAGAGUGCGUAACAGCUCACUGGUCGAGAGGCCCUGCACGGAAAAUGAUCGGGCAUCAAACUACGAACCGAAGUUCUAAACUCUAGCUUGCUAGAGUGGUAGGGGAGCAUUGAAAUCUGCAUCGAAGGUGUGGCGCGAGCCAUGCUGGAGCGAUUUCAAAAGAAAAUGUAGGCAUAAGUAACGAUAAAAGGAGUGAAAAACUCCUUCGCCGUAAGUCCAAGGUUUCCUGAUCAACGUUAAUCGGAUCAGGGUUAGUCGGGUCCUUAGGCAAACCCGAAAGGGGUAGCUGAUGGAAAACAGGUUAAUAUUCCUGUACCUGCUAUAUACUAAAAGUGACGGAGAGCCGUGGCAGUUACGUCCUGACGGAAUAGGGCGUUGAGUAGAACCUUCGGGGGACACGAAACUGUAAAAGCUCUUCCAAGAAAAGCGAGUAUAGCGGCCCGUACCGUAAACCGACACAGGUGGACGGGAUGAAUAUUCUAAGGCGCUCGGGUGAGCCGUGGAGAAGGAACUAGGCAAAUUGACGCUGUAACUUCGGGAUAAAGCGUACCGCAGCGAUGCGGUCUCAGUAAAAUGGUUCAACCAACUGUUUAACAAAAACACAGGGCCCUGCAAAAUCGUAAGAUGACGUAUAGAGCCUGAAACCUGCCCGGUGCUGGAAGGUUAAGGAAGGGUGUUCGACGCAAGUCAAAGCUCCUGACUGAAGCCCCAGUAAACGGCGGCCGUAACUAUAACGGUCCUAAGGUAGCGAAAUUCCUUGUCGGGUAAGUUCCGACCUGCACGAAUGGUCUAAUGAGUUGAACACUGUCUCCUCC
rnacentral:rRNA from 1 species